UACAGAGGGUGCAAGCGUUAAUCGGAAUUACUGGGCGUAAAGCGUGCGUAGGUGGUUCUUUAAGUCAGAUGUGAAAUCCCCGGGCUCAACCUGGGAACUGCAUUUGAUACUGAAGAGCUAGAGUGUGGUAGAGGAUAGUGGAAUUCCCGGUGUAGCGGUGAAAUGCGUAGAUAUCGGGAGGAACAUCAGUGGCGAAGGCGGCUAUCUGGACCAACACUGACACUGAGGCACGAAAGCGUGGGUAGCAAACAGG
rnacentral:rRNA from 1 species